GCGGAGCGCCUCCUGCUCUGGUCCCAUAAAUCAGGAGCUGAGAGGAAUACUCUGUCUCCUGAUUUUAUUCUCUACGGAGGAAGACCUGCUGCUGUGUCUCUCCCUUCGAAGCCAAGCUGAUCAGGCUUCUCAGUUGCGAAUAUGGAGUUCCUGUGUGGGGAAACCACCCUGCCAGGUGAAGAAAUGAAGCUGGCGUAAUGCUAUGGGGACCCGGAAACCACGGAUAGAAAAAUUUAGAAGGUCUUCCCUGGUGGCACAGUGGUAAAGAAUCCAUCUGCCAAUGCAGGAGACUUGGGUUCAGUCCCUGGGUCAGGAAGAUCUCUUGGAGGAGGAAAUGGCAACCCACCGCAAUAUUCUUGCCUGGAAAAUCGCAUGGACAGAGGAGCCUUGCAGGACAGUCCAUGGGUUCACAAAAGAGUUGGACAUGACUUGGAGACUAAACAACAACAUCAGCAGAAAUUUAGGAAAGGGAU